GGUAGAGGGCAGCAGCGCAGGCUGUAAGAAAAGUGAGCGAGACAAAACCCGGAAGUGAGCCGCGCUACUGAUCCGCAACAUCAAGUAAGACAAGCCUAGUCUCUCCACCUUGACAAAAGGUGUUUAAGCUGUCCUUCCAAUAUGGCCGACGUGUGGCAGAGCGCCAUGGACCACGCUGUAGCUGUGGCUAGAAAAGCCGGACAGGUGGUGCGGGAAGCUGUGCAAAGCGUUCAUAAGGAAGCAGUGAUGGUGAAAAGUUCGUCAGUCGAUCUGGUGACCCAGACGGACCAGAAGGUGGAGAAGCUCAUCAUCCAGUCUGUGAAGGAGAAGUUCCCAAAACACAGCUUCAUAGGGGAGGAGUCUGUUGCCGCAGGAGAAGUUUGCACCCUGACUGACAGUCCCACCUGGAUCAUUGACCCCAUUGAUGGCACCACCAACUUUGUUCACACCUAUCCUUAUGUUGGCGUGUCCAUCGGAUUCUCCGUCAACAAACAGGUGGAGUUCGGUGUGGUAUACAGUUGUCUCCAAGAUCAAAUGUUCACUGCACGGCGAGGGAAGGGCGCCUUCUGUAACGGAGAACCUCUACAAGUUUCUAAUCAGCAAGACAUCCACCAGGCUCUCAUCGCUGCAGAGUUUGGGUCCAACAGAGACGUGCAAACCGUGGAAAAGAUCUUCUCCAGCCUUAAGAAAGUUGUCAGCAUCCCUGUCCACGGGGUGCGUGGCGCAGGAAGUGCAGCCAUCAACAUGUGCCUGGUGGCGUCCGGCUGCGUGGAGGCUUACUACGAGAUCGGCAUGCACGUGUGGGAUAUCGCAGCGGGCUCGCUCAUCGUCUCCGAGGCCGGCGGCGUCGUCAUGGACGUGGAGGGAGGCUCCUUGGACUUGAUGUCCCGCCGAGUUUUGGCUGCCAACAAUCGAAAAGUUGCCGAGCGACUCGUCAAAGAAAUCGAUGCAUUCCGUCCGAUUAGAGACGACGCGCCGCUGGCAGAGUGAAGACUUGUAGUCACAUGACCUGUGUCAAGCAAACUACCAAAACAUCCCAAAAUAUUCACUGGGAGACUUCAAAUGAGCAGCAAGGGGAGCAUCCGCCAGGGCAGUUGCUGGAUUUUCCAUCUCCAUUGUUGGGGUCUCUGCGGGUGAGUCAAAGCUCGCGGUUGGUGGAUGAACACGCUGAACCGGACGUCCUGAUUAGCCGCUGCCCUGACAAAGCGACUGUUUGCCGUCAUGGUGACCGCCUGCAGCGAGUCUCCGGUGCCAAAAAUCAAGAGGGAGCGGCGGUUUACCUUGGCACUCGGCGUGAGGCGCAAUGCCCGCUCUGAAGGCCGGU